rnacentral:rRNA from 1 species
UACAGAGGGGGCAAGCGUUGUUCGGAAUUACUGGGCGUAAAGGGCGCGUAGGCGGCCUGUUAAGUCGAACGUGAAAUCCCCGGGCUCAACCCGGGAACUGCGUCCGAUACUGGCAGGCUUGAAUCCGGGAGAGGGAUGCGGAAUUCCAGGUGUAGCGGUGAAAUGCGUAGAUAUCUGGAGGAACACCGGUGGCGAAGGCGGCGAUCCUGGACCGGUAUUGACGCUGAUGCGCGAAAGCCAGGGGAGCAAAACGGG